ACCAAAAGCCCUUCCACAAAUUUGCGUAUCUACGGGGUUUUGCCACUGGCUGAUACGGUUACAGCUGUAUAUUACUACACACGUGCUUUGGCUACACACUCCCAAAAGAAAAGCGUUUCUCUCCGGUUAACUUUACCAACUGUUGAGCUCAUCCACCGUUAAUAUCACCGACGUGUCGGCUGAUUAAAACACUCUCCCAAUUACAGUACAAUUUCUAAUCUCAUUUCAAAUUUCAAAUUUGUAAUGAAUGGAUUAGUUUACACAAACUAAUUGGCGCUUCUCCCAUUGCUUUCUCCGAAAUGGAAAGAAAACUCAUGCUGGGUAAAGAUGUGGCGGAUUCAGGUGUUCGACCACGAUUGACUCGCAAUGUUUUUAACCACGAUUUGUCCAUGAUGAAGGAGGACAAACAACCAAGGCUUCCAUAUACCAUUGAUGAUUUGUUAUCUGAGGAAGACGGACGUGACAAAAUCAAAGAUGCAGAAUGAUAAUCCCAGACAAGUGUAUGGCCCUGUUGUUACUGUAUGGACUUUGCCUGGGAAGUAUUUGGCGAAAUGUCCAGGGGAAGAGAAGCUGAUAAAUUUGUCAAUUUUUAGGUAUUUUUUAACUGUGUUGUAUAAACAAAUUUUUAGGAAUUUCUCAAGAUUCGAAUGCACUAAUUUGGCAAGGAAAGACAGGUAUUUUCAUUGUUUGGUGUAAUCUUGGUAGAUAAAAUGGAGUCUUGAAAUUAGUGUAUUUUCUUGAUUUUUGUAUUUUCUUGAAUUUAGUGUCUGUCUUUGUAGAUAUAAUGAUCUGUAGUCAUUUAGUAUUUGCUAAUAAGAUAUAUAGUGAAGAGAUUAGUUUUGACCUCUCUUUUGAGACUAAUGGAAGUGAUGUGAUUGAGAAGGUACGUCCAAGUCUGACACUAUUAUCAAUCUGAACUUCAGCUCCUCAUUUUCUUCUACAUCUUUCACUGUAAUCACUCGGUUGGAGUGGCUCAAAUGUUUCUAACAAAAUAAUUUGAUCAUAUAUAUUUGUUUCCAUCCAGACAUGUCAAUUUAAAAUAUCUCUGUUUUGAAUGCAGAAAAUCAUGAUAUGUUUGUAAAUCAUGGCAAUUUGUAUGAGAUUGAGUGAUAACAGUCUGACCCAAAUGUGUGAUACCAUGUCAAAGUAUUUAGUCAUUUGAUAUCCUACAUUCGUAUAUAUAUUUAAAGAUAUUUUCUAAUACUACAAUUUCAAAGUUAUUGCACUUAUUAAGCUCCUAGAUCAGAGUUGGUUGGUUGUCUAUAGUUGUAUAAAAUAGUCUCUACUGGCCUAUUAAUGUUGUAUGGGCAACUUGCAUUUCUGAAAUAAAAAAUAAAAAGAAUAAUACUAUGUACGGCAACACGUAUGACAUAGAGGCAUGCAUAAUUGUUUAUUGAAAAUCCAAUUUCCAACUUCAUUUAAUUAUAUUUCAUUUUACAUUGUUUUCUUGCCAUAUUUCGUGUUUAUAUUAAGUGUUUUUAUUUUAGUAUUAUCAUAAUUUAUCAAGUGUUUGAUAGUUAUGAAUUGUGAUAAUUAUGUAUUCACUAACAAGAAUGGCUACUAUAAUUAUUUCUGCAUUAUGUCAGGAGAAAAAACUCAUGAUUUCGUCCGGGAUGAAGAUGAGCGUCCCAAAGUUGCCUACAAAUUUCAGUUAAUUCUUUAGUUGGUAUCUAUGAUGAUUUUGUUGACAGGAGGUCUGUGGUAUGUCAUAAAAUAGUGGAGGACUUUGAGUGCCGGAGAAUUUUUGAGGCAGUUGAUCACGCUGGAUCUCAGGUUAAACCGCCUCGGUUUGCCUCCUCCAAGCGAAGUAUUAAUCAGGUUAAGAAAUCCAGUCAUGCUUAUCAAGUUACAAAUCUGUUGCUGGAGAACAGAGGUGCACAUCAUCUUUAAAUAAUAUAUUGGGAAGGAAAUAUAACUUUUGUUUGAGAAAGCAUAUAUGUGUCAAAUGUUAAUUAUACUUAAUGUUAUAAAAUCUC